rnacentral:rRNA from 1 species
AUGUAGCAAUACAUGGCGUACUGCUCAGUAACACGUGGACAACCUGCCCUUAGGACGGGUAUAAACCCGGGAAACUGGGUAUAAUUCCCGAUAGGUCUCGUCUGCUGGAAUGCAUCGAGAUCCAAAGCUCCGGCGCCUAAGGAUGGGUCUGCGGCCUAUCAGGUAGUAGUGGGUGUAGCGUACCUACUAGCCUACAACGGGUACGGGUUGUGAGAGCAAGAGCCCGGAGAUGGAUUCUGAGACACUAAUCCAGGCCCUACGGGGUGCAGCAGGCGCGAAAACUUUACAAUGCUGGGAACAGCGAUAAGGGAACCUCGAGUGCCAGGUUACAAAUCUGGCUGUCGUGAUGCCUAAAAAGCAUUAUAUAGCAAGGGCCGGGCAAGACCGGUGCCAGCCGCCGCGGUAACACCGGCGGCUCGAGUGGUAACCGUUAUUAUUGGGUCUAAAGGGUCUGUAGCCGGCCGGAUAAGUCUCUUGGGAAAUCUGGCAGCUUAACUGUCAGGCUUUCAGGGGAUACUGUCUGGCUCGAGGCCGGGAGAGGUGAGAGGUACUUCAGGGGUAGGGGUGAAAUCUUGUAAUCCUUGAAGGACCACCAGUGGCGAA